rnacentral:tmRNA from 1 species
GGGGCCGACUUGGAUUCGACGACGGUAACAAAGUUUUCUGGUGCAUGCCGUGAUGACAGCCAAUCACGUUAAUCCAAAGCUGUAUUUGUUAUAGUUGCAAACGACUCUAACUAUGAAGGUUACGCACUAGCUGCAUAAACCUUUAAUAGCGGUUCGCCCGCUAUCGGUCAUCAGCAAGGUGCCAGUAUCGCGCUGCUGACUGUCAUAUAGAACUGGAUCGUAACAAGGUUUGCUUGAGGCUGCGUUACUAAACUUUUAUCAAGAUCGCCAAUAACGUCCUGUCCCUCGGGCUGUUUGCGGUUAACUUAAUUGAGGGAGACUAAGCAUGUAGAGCCGAAAAUGGCGUACUGGCGGACGGGGGUUCAACUCCCCCCGGCUCCACCA